UGGCUCCAUGGCUUUGUUACCAAAACUGCAACAAUUUGCAAAGAGGGAGAACCUGAAGAUAAUAUCAAUUGCAGACCUGAUAAGGGUGAUGUUGGGGAUGGACAAGAGAUCUUAGUACGAGUGCAUUCGGAGUGCCUAACUGGGGACAUAUUUGGAUCAGCGAGAUGCGAUUAUGGGAAUUAACUUGCUCUGGCAAUGACCAUGAUUGAGAAAACUGGCCGGGGUGUAGUAGUCUAUCUUCGUGGCCAUGAGGGUAGGGGUAUUGGGCUGGGUCACAAGCUUCAAGCAUACAACUUACAAGAUGAUGGGCGCGAUACUGUCGAGGCAAACUUGGAGCUAGGGCUGCCUGCUGACUCGCGGGAGUACGGUAUAGGUGCACAGAUAUUACGCCAUCUUGGUGCCAGGACCAUGCGGCUGAUGACUAACAACCCUGCCAAGUACACUGGACUCAAGGGCUAUGGUUUAAGUGUCCUUGGUAGAGUGCCAUUGCUAACACCGAUAACCACCGAGAAUAGGCGCUAUAUGGAAACAAAGCGAUUGAAGAUGGGGCAUGUUUAUGGAAGCCGCUCCAGUAAUCAUGCAAACGGCAGUGGCUUGGCUGGUGCUGGCGAGAGAGAGGAGCAGGAUCAGAAUGACAGUGCUGGCGUGCAAGAGCGAACUCCAGAAGCUUGAGUGCCUAACUCUGCGUUCCUUAGAGCUGCUCCAAUGGGAGUCUUAAAAAGAGAUGCAUCUUAAAAUAUAGGGCUCCAUGGCAAAAAAAUCACUCCAACGGGGACCUCAUUUUACAAAAACUCAGGAAACAAAUUUGGGCUCCGGUCUCAUUGGUCCCAAAUGUAGGACUUGAAACUAUCGGCCCUAUUCUCGUUCCCACGCCCCCACGACCUUCGGUCUUUUCCUGUUGCAUUCGUUCUCAAGCCGUCUCUCCCACAAACCAAACCCUCUGCCUGUCGAGAAGCAUUGGCGAGAUGGAUGGACGGCCACCGCCUUUUCCUCGUUCACGGCCAACAGGUUGGCCUCGUUGAACUUCCAUGGAGAUGGCACUAGAUGUGAUAGGGAGAUCAUCAGCUGUGUCUUCUCCGCCAGAUUUGCGCAGGCCUCCUGUGGCCGUGGCUGCAGAGCGAAGGCCUGCAAGUAUGUCUGCAACUUCCCAACAGACACAAGGACAAGCGUCUUGGCAUCGAAUCGCUGCAGACCAUGCCGAUCGGAGUUUAUCAGUGGCACCGAUGAUGUAUCAAGAUCCAUUGUCAAUGAUUGAUGACUAUAGGUAAUAACCUUUCUGUUGAGAUUAGUAGUCGAUUAUAUUUGCUCAUGAAUUCAAUCGAUGGUGAUCUGGGAUCUCCAUGGUUGAGAAAUUGAAGUCAAGGCCUGGUGAGGUUACUUGUACUGGUAGGUGCUGAUAGAUGUAGUGCUCACCGAUGCUUGUGAAUUGAAUUAUUGGUUCUGAAAAUAUCCUCACUUCAACCAUGCAUACGAGAUUAUGAGUAAAUGUGAAUUCCAUACACUCUGUUGCCCCAGUCCAAUACAACCUUGCUGAACCUUGCAUAUUUGUGUGAGCAGGUACAUUUUUGGGAGUCUCUUUAAUGUUUUUCUUGUUUGGUCUCAUAAUUAGUGGAGUACUUCAACUUAUGUGCAUUAUUAUAUCAAUUUGAUUACCAAACUUUAUUGUGUAUAGCGUCAAAGCUGUUUUGAAUGUCUUGUGUUUGUGUAUAUUUCAUUCUAAUUCCAUAACCAGAGUCUGCUCAUAUUUUUACACUACUCUAUUGAACCAAGAACCUGAAGAUGUAUUUGCCUGCCAAGAAAAUAUGGAGAGCGAAAAUGAGGUCAUGGAGUCACCACCAUUGAAUGAUUCAAAUUCACAGUCAAAACCAAAGGGUCGAUCCAAGAAUUUUAAUGAAGCUGAAGACAUUUUGUUGAUGUCAGCUUAUCUUAACAUACGUAAAGAUGCAAUUACUGGAAGGGAUCAAUAAGAAGGCAACUUUUGGGAAAGAGUUGAGAAGUACUUUAACGUUAACAGGACAUUUGAGUCAGAUCGUAACUGGUCAUCGUUGAAGCAUCGGUGGGGUAUAAUUCACAAAUAAGUUAGUAGUUUCCAAGGUUUCCAUGACAGUAUCGAAAGGAAAAAUGAAAGUGGGAAGACAAGUGAUGAUAAGCUGGCUGAAGCAAAUGUAAUGUUCCAUCAAUUUAAAAAUAAGGCCUUUUCUUUGUUCCAUGCGUGGAACAUUCUCAGACAUGAGCCAAAGUGGGCUGAAGAUAAAACAUCUAAUGAAGGGAAUGCAAAUGGGGACAGUCAUCCCAAUGCUCAAAGACCUGCAGGAAGGAAAGCUGAAAAGGAAAAGAUGAAAGCAAAAAGGCGCAACAGUGAUGAAGAGUCUGAUCCUUUCAUUGAAGAGGUAAAAAAAUUUGAGAGAAUCGAGAGAGAAAACUGAGAGCGAACGAAAGGAGCGUGAUGAAAGAUACUUUGAGCUGCAUAAGAAAAAAGUAGACUUGGAGCAAGACCAGCAUGACAAGUUGAUAAUGGCACUUGAGUCUUGACACGAGCACAAUGGAUGACCAAGGAAAACAGUAUUUUCAGUUGAUGAAAGAAGAUAUUUUAGCUCGACGCUUUGGGAGUAGGCAGCCAUAGUUAUUUAGUUUUUAAUACUUUAGACUUUUUUCCAUUCAAAACAGAUUAUCUUGAUGUUCAUGUAAUGUAAGAACAUAUUUUCAUUCAAAGCAGAUUAUCUUGAUGUUUGCAACAAUCUGUGUUGACAUUGUUUUCUGGUUACUGUAAAAGUUGAGUUGAAAUUUUGCUUC